rnacentral:rRNA from 1 species
UACGAAGGGGGCUAGCGUUGCUCGGAAUCACUGGGCGUAAAGCGCACGUAGGCGGCUUGUUAAGUCAGGGGUGAAAUCCUGGAGCUCAACUCCAGAACUGCCUUUGAUACUGGCGAGCUUGAGUUCGGGAGAGGUGAGUGGAACUGCGGGUGUAGAGGUGAAAUUCGUAGAUAUUCGCAAGAACACCAGUGGCGAAGGCGGCUCACUGGCCCGAUACUGACGCUGAGGUGCGAAAGCGUGGGGAGCAAACAGG